rnacentral:rRNA from 1 species
AGUGAACGCUGGCGGUAGGCCUAACACAUGCAAGUCGAACGGCAGCACAGUAAGAGCUUGCUCUUACGGGUGGCGAGUGGCGGACGGGUGAGGAAUACAUCGGAAUCUACUUUUUCGUGGGGGAUAACGUAGGGAAACUUACGCUAAUACCGCAUACGACCUACGGGUGAAAGCAGGGGAUCUUCGGACCUUGCGCGAUUGAAUGAGCCGAUGUCGGAUUAGCUAGUUGGCGGGGUAAAGGCCCACCAAGGCGACGAUCCGUAGCUGGUCUGAGAGGAUGAUCAGCCACACUGGAGCUGAGACACGGUCCAGACUCCUACGGGAGGCAGCAGUGGGGAAUAUUGGACAAUGGGCGCAAGCCUGAUCCAGCCACACCGCGUGGGUGAAGAAGGCCUUCGGGUUGUAAAGCCCUUUUGUUGGGAAAGAAAAGCAGCAGGUUAAUACCCCGCUGUUCUGACGGUACCCAAAGAAUAAGCACCGGCUAACUUCGUG